rnacentral:rRNA from 1 species
GGACGGGUGAGUAACGCGUGAGCAAUCUGCCUCUGUCGGGGGGAUAACACUUAGAAAUAGGUGCUAAUACCGCAUAAGACCACGAUUCGGCAUCGAGAAGUGGUAAAAGAUUAUAUCGGACAGAGAUGAGCUCGCGUCCCAUUAGCUAGUUGGUAGGGUAACGGCCUACCAAGGCGACGAUGGGUAGCCGACCUGAGAGGGUGAACGGCCACACUGGAACUGAGAAACGGUCCAGACUCCUACGGGAGGCAGCAGUGGGGAAUAUUGGGCAAUGGAGGAAACUCUGACCCAGCAACGCCGCGUGAAGGAAGAAGGUUUUCGGAUUGUAAACUUCUGUCGCGAGGGACGAAGAAUGACGGUACCUCGUAAGAAAGCCCCGGCUAACUACGUGCCAGGAGCCGCGGUAAUACGUAGGGGGCAAGCGUUGUCCGGAAUGAGUGGGCGUAAAG